GAUGAACGCUGGCGGCAGGCCUAACACAUGCAAGUCGAGCGGGGUGAUGGUGCUUGCACUAUCACUUAGCGGCGGACGGGUGAGUAAUGCUUAGGAAUCUGCCUAUUAGUGGGGGACAACAUCUCGAAAGGGAUGCUAAUACCGCAUACGUCCUACGGGAGAAAGCAGGGGAUCACUUGUGACCUUGCGCUAAUAGAUGAGCCUAAGUCGGAUUAGCUAGUUGGUGGGGUAAAGGCCUACCAAGGCGACGAUCUGUGGCGGGUCUGAGAGGAUGAUCCGCCACACUGGGACUGAGACACGGCCCAGACUCCUACGGGAGGCAGCAGUGGGGAAUAUUGGACAAUGGGGGGAACCCUGAGCCAGCCAUGCCGCGUGUGUGAAGAAGGCCUUAUGGUUGUAAAGCACUUUAAGCGAGGAGGAGGCUCUUUUGGUUAAUACCCAAGAUGAGUACGUUACUCGCAGAAUAAGCACCGGCUAACUCUGUGCCAGCCGCCGCGGUAA
rnacentral:rRNA from 1 species